UGGCUCAGAGGUUAAAGCGUCUGCCUGCAAUGUGGGAGACCCGGGUUCGAUUCCUGG
rnacentral:tRNA from 1 species